CUACUUUGAUCUUCGCACUUUGGCACAUGACCACGGCCUGCAUUUGCCUGUUUCUCUUCUUGACAAAGAAAGAGCAUGGAAGCUGGAGGCUUUUUCAAGGAUGGGAAAUGAUGGAGAUGUAUAUAGUGCUGCCAAGAACAGGUCUUUGAGUGCUGAUGAUUUAAUUAAUCUUCAGCGCGCUAAGGCCAUCCUCUCCUGAAGGAAGAAAUGAGGGGUAAUGUAACAUCUGAACCCCUCAUCAAAAAAGACAGGAAAAUACCACCUUUCCUGCUA